UGGUUAGGGUUAACGUCCCGUAACGAGCGCUAACCCUUGUCCUUAGUUACCAGCACGUUAUGGUGGGCACUCUAAGGAGACUGCCGGUGACAAACCGGAGGAAGGUGGGGAUGACGUCAAGUCAUCAUGGCCCUUACGGCCUGGGCUACACACGUGCUACAAUGGUCGGUACAAAGGGUUGCCAAGCCGCGAGGUGGAGCUAAUCCCAUAAAACCGAUCGUAGUCCGGAUCGCAGUCUGCAACUCGACUGCGUGAAGUCGGAAUCGCUAGUAAUCGUGAAUCAGAAUGUCACGGUGAAUACGUUCCCGGGCCUU
rnacentral:rRNA from 1 species